UAUAUAUAUAUAUAUAUGUACAUAUGAUCGGUUGCAAUCAAAUAUAUUUGAACAUGAAUGAGCCCAACCGUGGAAAAGUGGAUAUUUGGCCUUCUUCUAAAUAAAAAAUUAUUUAAAAUAUAAACAACUUGUUUUUUGAAUAUUUUUUCCUUUUAUAUAUAGUAGAAAUAAUCGAUUAUCAUAUUUUUACGAAUUUUACAAUACCUUAGAUUCAGAAGUGUCAAACAUGUAUCCACUUUUGCUCGCCAAUAUAUGUGUAUUAUUAUAAUGUUAGUUUAUUUCCUUAUUUGCCUAACGAACAUUAUAAUUCCUAUAAUUUGAUUGGCUACAGGAAAUUAGUAAUGUGUUAAAUUUAAAUUAAAUGCUAAUUUCCAGCACUAAUACACAAGUUUUAUAAAAGGCAACACACUAAAAGUUUCCAUCAAUUCUAAAAUAAUUUGCAUAAACGAAUAUAUUUAAUAAUGAAGACUUUAUUUCGUUACUAGCGAUAUUUAUGGGACUGUGCCUCAUUUGUAGCGUUUAUUCCAUAAGGACACGCAGUAAAUUUAAAUUUGGUAUAUUCUGCUUUUAUUAAGAAUGGGUAGCGAGUAUCGUAAAGUCGAGCACACUCGAAUGGAGCUUUCUUACUUGUUUUUAUUAUGUUAUAUUAACAAAACCCGUUGGAAUAAUAACAGCUUCAAAUUCCAAAUGUAAUAGUGUGAUUAAUAAAUUUAUUUAAGAAAAUCUUCUUAAAUAAAGACUACAAAUUCGAAAUGUAAUAGGGCAAUCUUGUUAUUCAAUAUAUGUGACGAAGUAAAUGUUAACCAAUUAUAUAAAAAUAUAUAUUCGUUAAUGAUGUGGUAAAUUUAAAUUUAAUGCUAAUUACUAAAUUAUUGCACAAGUCCUAUAAAAGGCAACACACCAAAAGCUUCUCAGUCAAUUCUAAAAUAAUCUGCAGAAAUGAAACUCUUGGCGUUAGUAUUGGGUCUGAUUCUCAUUUGCGUGACACGCGAUCCGUAUAAUUCAAUAGACUUUAAAUAAUUUAACGUACAAAAAGAAUUUGUAAGAAAAGCAUUUUUUUCUAAUUGCACACUUACACUAAAAGUACGUAAUAAACAUAUAUUGGUUUUUAAA